AGUCUGGUGCCAGCAGCCGCGGUAAUUCCAGCUCCAAUAGCGUAUAUUAUUAUUGUUGCGGUUAAAAAGCUCGUAGUUGGAUCUCGGUUUCGGGCGAGCGGUGUACCUUGCGGUAUUUACUGUUUGCCCGGACGAUUUUGUUGGUUCGUUUAUGGUUCUCUUAACCGAGUGCCAUAAGUGGCCAGCACGUUUACUUUGAAAAAAUUGGAGUGCUCAAAGCAGGCGCUACAGCCUGAACAUUAGUGCAUGGAAUAAUGGAAUAGGAUCUCGGUUCUAUUUCGUUGGCUUUCGGAGUCGAGGUAAUGAUUAAUAGGGACAGACGGGGGCAUUCGUACUGCGACGUUAGAGGUGAAAUUCUUGGAUCGUCGCAAGACGAACUACUGCGAAAGCAUUUGCCAAGAAUGUUUUCAUUAAUCAAGAUCGAAAGUUAGAGGUUCGAAGGCGAUCAGAUACCGCCCUAGUUCUAACCAUAAACGAUGUCGACCGGCGAUCCGUUAUCGUUAACUGAAUGACUUAACGGGCAGCCUCCGGGAAACCAGAGUGUUUGGAUUCCGGGGGAAGUAUGGUUGCAAAGCUGAAACUUAAAAGAAUUGACGGAAGGGCACCACCAGGAGUGGAGCCUGCGGCUUAAUUUGACCCAACACGGGAAAUCUCACCAGGCCCGGACACCGGAAGGAUUGACAGAUUGAGAGCUCUUUCUUGAUUCGGUGGGUGGUGGUGCAUGGCCGUUCUUAGUUGGUGGAGCGAUUUGUCUGGUUAAUUCCGAUAACGAACGAGGCUCUGGCCUACUAACUAGACGUUAGAUCCCUUUGUGGGUCUAUCGCAGCUUCUUAGAGGGACGGGCGGCGUUUAGCCGCACGAGAUUGAGCAAUAACAGGUCUGUGAUGCCCUUAGAUGUUCUGGGCUGCACGCGCGCUACACUGAAGGAAUCAGCGUGUGUUCCCUACCCGAAAGGGUUGGGAAACCCGUUGAACCUCCUUCGUGAUGGGGAUUGGGGAUUGCAAUUAUUCCCCAUGAACAAGGAAUUCCCAGUAGGCGCGAGUCAUAAGCUUGCGUCGAUUACGUCCCUGCCCUUUGUACACACCGCCCGUCGCUACUACCGAUCGAGUGAUUUAGUGAGGCCUUCGGACUGGUCUUCAGUAUGGCUUUCGGGUCGUGUUGGAGUACCGGAAAGACGACCAAACUUGAUCACUUAGAGGAAGUAAAAGUCGUAACAAGGUUUCCGUAGGUGAACCUGCGGAAG
rnacentral:rRNA from 1 species